GGCGGGGUAGCUCAGCGGUAGAGCAGUGGACUCAUAAGCCAUUUGUCGGGAGUUCGAUCCUCCCCCCCGCUACCA
rnacentral:tRNA from 1 species